rnacentral:rRNA from 1 species
UACGAAGGGGGCUAGCGUUGCUCGGAAUCACUGGGCGUAAAGGGUGCGUAGGCGGGUCUUUAAGUCAGGGGUGAAAUCCUGGAGCUCAACUCCAGAACUGCCCUUUGAUACUGAGGAUCUUGAGUUCGGGAGAGGUGAGUGGAACUGCGAGUGUAGAGGUGAAAUCGUAGAUAUUCGCAAGAACACCAGUGGCGAAGGCGGCCAUCUGGCGAGACACUGACGCUAAGGCGCGAAAGCGUGGGUAGCAAACAGGA